UGAGCCUGAUCCUCAUCACCACUGCAAAAAAGUCAAAAGGAUAUUGCCAGCAAGAAGGGGAAUAAUCACACUAAUGUCUUAUUACCAAGUUUUGUCAGUUUGAAAAAAAAAUGGCAGGUGUUUGUGUGUGUCUGUUAAGGGCUACAGAAACUUAGCAAUUGUUUUAUUCUCCAAAGAAUCUAUCAUUUGUUGCAAAUAUAACUCAAACCCCAUCUGAAUCUUAUAAGGUUUCAAAUUGUAUACUUAGGAUUGUUAAGGUUCCAAAGAGAUAAGUCCUAGAAUUGUAAAUAAAUUGUAUACUUUACAGGAUGUAUAAACUACCACUAAUGUUCAAAGUUUAAUAGAAGCAUUUAUAAUGUAACACCCAGAGGAAAAUACCUAUCCUGAAG
rnacentral:misc_RNA from 1 species